ACUCAAAGGAAUUGACGGGGGCCCGCACAAGCGGAGGAACAUGUGGUUUAAUUCGAUGAUACGCGAGGAACCUUACCCGGGUUUGAACGAUGGUUGAAUAUGUAUGAAAGUAUAUAGUCGCAAGACAGCUAUCGAGGUGCUGCAUGGUUGUCGUCAGCUCGUGCCGUGAGGUGUCGGGUUAAGUCCCAUAACGAGCGCAACCCCUGCCGACAGUUGCCAUCAGGUAAUGCUGGGGACUCUGUCGGGACUGCCGGUGUAAACCGCGAGGAAGGCGGGGAUGACGUCAAAUCAGCACGGCCCUUACAUCCGGGGCUACACACGUGUUACAAUGGACGGUACAGAGGGCAGCCAUCCCGCGAGGGAGUGCCAAUCUUCAAAGCCGUUCUUAGUUCGGAUCGGAGUCUGCAACCCGACUCCGUGAAGCCGGAUUCGCUAGUAAUCGCGCAUCAGCCACGGCGCGGUGAAUACGUUCCCGGGCCUUGUACACACCGCCCGU
rnacentral:rRNA from 1 species